rnacentral:rRNA from 1 species
AGAGUUUGAUCCUGGCUCAGAGCGAACGCUGGCGGCAGGCCUAACACAUGCAAGUCGAACGAAGCCUUCGGGCUUAGUGGCGGACGGGUGAGUAACACGUGGGAACGUACCUUUUGGUUCGGAACAACACAGGGAAACUUGUGCUAAUACCGAAUGUGCUCUUCGGAGGAAAGAUUUAUCGCCAUUAGAGCGGCCCGCGUUGGAUUAGGUAGUUGGUGUGGUAAAGGCGCACCAAGCCUACGAUCCAUAGCUGGUCUGAGAGGAUGAUCAGCCACACUGGGACUGAGACACGGCCCAGACUCCUACGGGAGGCAGCAGUGGGGAAUCUUGCGCAAUGGGCGAAAGCCUGACGCAGCCAUGCCGCGUGAAUGAUGAAGGUCUUAGGAUUGUAAAAUUCUUUUAGCAGGGACGAUAAUGACGGUACCUGCAGAAAAAGCCCCGGCUAACUUCGUG